UUUUUUUUUUUGGUAAAGGUACAGUUGAACAAAGAGCCUAUUCAAAAAAUAAGGCCAAACCAAGAGAUCUCUGACCAAAGGGCUAAGCGGAAUAUGGAAGACCACCAACAGGAACAGGAGCCAAGUGUCACGAGACAAAUGGCCCCAGGUGGCCAGAUUAUGAGCCCUGUUAAAGAUCCCUGCUUUAGAGAAAAGAAGCCUGAGCUCCCCAGCCUCCACUCCCUAAUUCUGAGCUACACGGAGUUUUGUUCUCCCCUGAAUCUAUAAAUCACAUGCUCAUCAGUAUUCUAUUUCCUCUUGCCACUCCAAUACAUUUUGUGAUCAGUGCAGUCUCACCACCUCUUAGAGAAGACCAUAAACUCCCUCCUAAAUUGAUGACUUUGUACAAAAAUUGCCACCUCUUCCUUUGAUCCCUAAGGAUGGCACAGAGAGGGCCUGCGAGGUAAGCAGCACAGCACCUUGAGGAGGGGGAAGAAACCAACCAAUAACACCACUCCACCAAGCUCUGAUGUAGUCUUGCUAGAUAACUGUACACUCUCAAACUUCAGAAGAUCCACUUAUUCCCCAGUAGAUCCCAAGGCUUCAGAUAUCCAAACAAUAGUCUAAUUUCUCAAACUGAAAGACAACCGAAGUUAGAUGAAAAAUACUCUUUCAUAAGGAAAACAGCAUCUUUCCCAGAGAAGUCACCCCUUGACUACAAAGGAUUAUCAAUCUAAUCUAAUCCCCACACAACCACCUGAAUCCUUGAAGUUUUUAGGGUUCAACAAGGCCCUGGGCUUACCUUGUUUCUUAAACUAAAGUAAAUUCGUGUUGGCAAGUACUGAUUCGGAAGCAAACGGGAGUCAAAGUGCCACUUCUGAGGGGCUAUUUGGCCAGGAUUUCUAGAGCCUUGAUAGUCGGCUACUGUGCCAGCCUACCUCCUCCCCCUAAGUCACUUUUCUGAUGAUAAGGAGAAAGGUUCUUAAUCCUCUAAACCAGCUUUGCCUCAUAAUUUACAUUAAAUUUCUCCCUAGCCCAGAUGAGCAACAUUCUUGCCUCCUCUGGUCUUAACCCAACACUUUUCCUAAUUCCAGUUAAGCAUAAUAUAAGUACAAAAAACAAUGAAAAAUGGCAGUGGCAUAUGGGAUUUUAUUAGCAUUUGGGUUUAAAUUUGUUCAUUAAAACAAAUUCACACUGAUUUAAUUAAAAAAAAAAAAGUAUCACAAGAACUUCCAAAUCCAAUAAGUGGCCAAAUUUCAGUGAUCUACCCCCUUUUUGUUCCAGAGAUGCUCCCCUAGCUCAGUCUUCUGCAUCGGUCAUCCCAAAAUGCUGUGGUCUCUGGUCUCCCUGACUGCAGCGUCUUGCUCACUCUUUUAAUCAUUCUAUGCAUCACUUUGUCCUUCAUGAGUCAUCACAAAACAUUUUCUUACUAUGAUACCACAAAAAAAAUCCAAAAUCCUAAAAGGCUCCCCUGUGAGCCACUGAAUCAAGUGCAGAUUUCACAGCUCCGAAAUAAACCCGUUUUUGCCAAAAAACAAAACAAAACAAAACAAAAUUUUUUUUUUUUUGCUUACCUCCUUGAGCUACAUGGAGCCAAUAAGACAAUCUGAUACACUAAUAUGCCCUUGUCCUUUCCCUCCUGCAGGCCUCUGCUCUUACCCUCUCCUCUCCCUCCUCCUCCUUAAAUCCCACGACCUACCUCCCUAAUCCUCCCCCCACACACCACUCCUCCCGUCUCUCCUAUCAAACCUAAACCCUACCAAUCCUCCACAAACCCCUUCCACCUGGCAUGGGUUCUUCCUCAGAAAUACCAGUGUCCUCUACCUUACUAACUACAUUUAAAACAUUCGGUGGCCCAAAUUAUUAGCAUGUAUCUUAUUUUCCUGCCCCAUGGAAUCUUCCGAAAGGUAGAGACAACGUCUACAUUUGCUUCUUAUUCUCUUUACAGCACUGUAACUUGCAUUUGGCAUUCAGUCAAUAAAUACUUCCGGGAUAAAUGAACAAAAAAAAAUUAUGUCCCAAUUUUAUUCAUUUUCCAGAGUGUUUAUGAUUAAGUUAUAUCACUUAAUUUUUGAAACAAGCUAGUAAAGGAGAAAUUUGAAUUUCACUUUUAGAAAUGAAAAUAAAAAGCAGAAGCUCAAAAAGGACAGCAUGAGUUCUCCUGUGUCACACAGUCUCCAGGUUCCCUGAUUCCCCAGCAUGUCCCUCACCUGGACACCCACGGCUUCUCAUGGCAGCCAGAAAGGGGGUGCCAUCAUCUUCCCUUUCCGUGAAUCCACUGUUUCUGAGGAAUUCGGGCCAAAAUGGCCUUAAUUUUUCUCUUCUACCAAUGACCCAUGGCACAGUCAUUCAUAUGACCAUAAUAUUCUCAAGUCAACCUAUGAGGCUUGGGAGAAACACGUCUUGUUCUCUUCUUGGUAUCUGGCUGCCACCAGAGAGGCUUCUGCUCCUGCUUCACCCCUCCUCAGAGUAGCUCAUACUCUGGGCAAGACCCAGACUGUGCUAAACAUCAGUUCCUCAUUUUCAAAAGGGGAAGAACAAUAGUACCACUUCACACUGUAGUUAUGAAGACAGAGAUAGGGCAUAGACAUCACAAAUACUCGAUAAAAAGCGGUUAUUAAAAUUAAUGACAAUGAACAAAACCACAGAGAAUCAGAUGAUACCACCAACUCUGAAAGGCUUCCUUUGUAUUCCAGAAAAGCGCUGUAAUUUGGUCAUGAGGAAGCAGAAACGAACCAACGCCAGUUUAAGAGCUUGAAUAACCAAGUGGGGGGUGGGAGAGGGGGCUUAGUUUUUUUGGUGUUUAAAAUGAGGGUGCUGGUCUUUCCCAGGCUAACAUCCUAUGUGCUAUGAAGCAUUCCGUAGCAGGUUUUUCAUUUUUCUCCCCCACACAAAUAUUGGCCCUCUUUGGCAACCAAGCCCAGCGGAGUGCCCAAUAUGGGGAUACUUUUCUCAGUUCAUGUAACAGGCUGAAAUUAUUCAAAGUUUUGCCCAGAAAUAAUUUUAAUUUUGCUUCCAUUUAAAGAUCCCAGACUAGAUCUUUAUACUACCUCUGAACUCACUUAAGAGUCAAUUACUGUUUUCCCAAAGCCAAACACAGAUUAUAAAGCCUUCAAUGUUUUGAAUCUAAAAGUCAAAGGAAUUAUGGAUGAUGGCUUACUUUAAUACCAAAAAGUUAUUUCAACAUUUCAUGAUUCUAAUUUUGAUUAUAAUUCCCGGAGGAAGCACUGGAUUAAGUUCUAAUAGACUUCUUCUAAAGAAGCCAGUUUAAAAUAAAUUCCCAUUUUAGUCUCUCAAUUAGUGGAACUUUAAAUUACCUUUUCCCUAGAACAAAUAAAGAACUUUGAAGGAAAUGUAGAGCAUUUGUAUGAAGCACAGCACAGAUAUUGUUUUCAUGAAAUAAAAGGGAGCCUAAGAGGGGUUAAAGACGCCGCUGCAGCCUAAGAAGACCAACAGAGCUGAAAGGGUCUGAUGGCAGGAUGUGGGUUAUAACGCUCCUGAAUGAAAUCCUUUUGUGCAAGGGUCUUGCAAAGGGCAACCAGGCAGGACUGUGUGUUUGGAUUUAAAUUAAUCAACUGGUCAGUUCCACAAUGCUAAGAUUCCUUCUGUUUAACUGAUUUAGGCAGGUUUACAGGCAGUUCCCAAAUGAUGUCAAUAGCUUCUAAAAGGUCAAAUGCAGCCGCACACACCAGAUGCCCUAGAAUGAAAAGCACCAAUAACUUCGAUCUCUAUAAUUUGCUGGGUGUGACUUAUUAUACUGUGGGCUAUCCUUUUUUAAUCAACUACCCUGGUUUUCUUUUUCUUUUUUUUUUUUGCCCCUAAAGCUGAAACAGAUUUAUACAUUUUAAUGAUAU
rnacentral:lncRNA from 1 species